ACAAACAUAAGACUAUUAUCUAAUGAAAAUGAUAUUUGUAAACCUGGACCCCCAAUUGGAUCAAAUAAAAAAUAUUUGCAAAUUUGGAUCCCCAAACAAGAUCAAGUAAAAACAAGUGAAAUUGCGAGCUACUGCUCACUGCUGAUACCCUUGCCGCAAUUGAAUAAUUCUAAUAGUGUAGAAAUUUGUAAGUGUUUGGUAAACAGGAAGUUGUUGAGUGAUGAAUCUGAAACGCAUCAUAUGGUAUAGCUGACUUAUAUAAACCCUGAAACACAGAAUGAAUGUGAUCUAAGAACUUAGAAAAUUCUAAUUUAGCUAUUCAAACCAUAUCAUUAUUAUUUCCUUUUAUAUAUAAAUCAGAAAUAACCAAUUUAAAAUGAAAAAUUUUAAAGAAAAAAAAGGAAACCCCCCCCCCAAAUUUUUUGAACCCCCUUAUGAUUCAUCACCCCCAAACUCAAUCUCAGCCUUCCCUUUGUGGUAUGGUACCUUGCAGUACAAUUUCAGAGAGAUCCAUACACUUGAACACAAGUUAUUGUCUGGAAACUAGAAUAAAAUGCUCCACAGGGCGCAGCUUGAUACGACCGCAGAGGUCGAAACCCUGAACAGUUGGGGGAAGUAUGGACACAACAUUCAAGCUUGAUACAGCUUUGGAUUUGGAUUGUGAUUAAAUAUUUGACACAGCAUAGGUUUCUAACACAGAUUGAAUGUGGUCUAAGAACUUAAAAAUUUUAAAUUGGACAUUCACCUAUUAUGGUCCAAUAUCCAAAAUCUAAAUACAUGGUUAGAUUCAGCAUAUCAAAGAACCCCAAGAAUUCAAUUUUUGAUGAAAUCAAACAAAGUUUAAUUUUGGACCCUUUUGACCUCAAUGUGGACAAAGUUGAUAACGGGGCCCAAAAAUCAAAAUACAUGGUUAGAUUCAGUAUAUCAAAGAACCCCAUAUAUUCAAUUUUUGUUGAAAUCAAACAAAGUUUAAUUUUGGACCCCGAUUUGGACCAACUUGAAAACUGGGCCCAUAAUCAAAAAUCUAAAUACAUGUUUAGAUUCAGCAUAUCAAAGAACCCUAAGAAUUCAAUUUUUGUUAAAAUCAAACUAAGUUUAAUUUUGGACCCUUUGGACCUUAAUGUAGACCAAUUUGAAAACGGAACCAAAAAUUAAGAAUCUAAAUACACGGUUAGAUUCGGUAUAUCAAAGAACCCCAAUAAUUCAAUUUUUGAUGAAAUCAAACAAAGUUUAAUUUUGGACCCUUUUGACCUCAAUGUGGACAAAGUUGAUAACGGGGCCCAAAAAUCAAAAAUCUAAAUACAUGGUUAGAUUCAGCAUAUCAAAGAACCCCAUGUAUUCAAUUUUUGUUGAAAUCAAACAAAGAUUAAUUUUGGACCCCGAUUUGGACCAACUUGAAAACUGGGCCCAUAAUCAAAAAUCUAAAUACAUGUUUAGAUUCAGCAUAUCAAAGAACCCUAAGAAUUCAAUUUUUGUUAAAAUCAAACUAAGUUUAAUUUUGGACCCUUUGGACCUUAAUGUAGACCAAUUUGAAAACGGAACCAAAAUUUAAGAAUCUAAAUACACAGUUAGAUUCGGCAUAUCAAAGAACCCCAAUAAUUCAAUUUUUGAUGAAAUCAAACAAAGUUUAAUUUUGGACCCUUUGGACCUCAAUGUGGACCAAUUUAAAAACGGGGCCCAAAAUCCAAAAACUAAAUACACGGUUAGAUUCAGCAUAUUAAAGAACCCCAUGAAAUCAAGAAUAAAACCCCAUUCAAAUUGGUCAAGAAAUAAGCAAUUUAUAGGAAGUAUCUUCUUUUGCACAAUCCUGUGCUAUUAAAUAUUUCUUGCUAUUGCGCAAUACUGUACAAUUGACAAUUUCUUGCUAUUGCGCAAUAUUGUGCUAUUGGAUAUUUCUUGCUAUUGCGCAAUACUGUGCAAUUGAAGAUUUCUUGCUAUUGCGCAAUACUGUGCAAUUGAAGAUUUCUUGCUAUUGUGCAAUACUGUGCAAUUGAAAAUUUCUUGCUAUUGCACAAUACUUAUUAUAUAAUAAUUUACACAUCCUGUUUGGUGUGUAUCUCCUACCAUAUCAUUAUUAUUUGAUUUUAAAUAUAAAUCAGAAAUAACCAACUUAAAAUGGAAAAUUUUAAAAGAAACAAAAAAGGAAAAAAAGAAAAAAAGGAAAAAAAAAUAAA